rnacentral:rRNA from 1 species
AACGAGUUCUGAUUAUUGAAAGGUGCUUGCAUCUUGAUUUAAUUUUGAACGAGUGGCGGACGGGUGAGUAACACGUGGGUAACCUGCCCUUAAGUGGGGGAUAACAUUUGGAAACAGAUGCUAAUACCGCAUAAAUCCAAGAACCGCAUGGUUCUUGGCUGAAAGAUGGCGUAAGCUAUCGCUUUUGGAUGGACCCGCGGCGUAUUAGCUAGUUGGUGAGGUAACGGCUCACCAAGGCAAUGAUACGUAGCCGAACUGAGAGGUUGAUCGGCCACAUUGGGACUGAGACACGGCCCAAACUCCUACGGGAGGCAGCAGUAGGGAAUCUUCCACAAUGGACGCAAGUCUGAUGGAGCAACGCCGCGUGAGUGAAGAAGGCUUUCGGGUCGUAAAACUCUGUUGUUGGAGAAGAAUGGUCGGCAGAGUAACUGUUGUCGGCGUGACGGUAUCCAACCAGAAAGCCACGGCUAACUACGUGCCAGCAGCCGCGGUAAUACGUAGGUGGCAAGCGUUAUCCGGAUUUAUUGGGCGUAAAGCGAGCGCAGGCGGUUUUUUAAGUCUGAUGUGAAAGCCCUCGGCUUAACCGAGGAAGUGCAUCGGAAACUGGAAAACUUGAGUGCAGAAGAGGACAGUGGAACUCCAUGUGUAGCGGUGAAAUGCGUAGAUAUAUGGAAGAACACCAGUGGCGAAGGCGGCUGUCUGGUCUGUAACUG